GCCUGGCUCAGUUGAUAGAGCAUCAGACUCUUGAUCUCAGGGUCAUGAGUUCAAGCCCCAUGUUGGGCA
rnacentral:tRNA from 1 species